rnacentral:ncRNA from 1 species
UUUAUUACUAUGAUGAGAAGAGUAGCUUUUAAAUGUAGUCUUAGCGAAUAAGGGAUGGUGUGAGCCUUAUACGAAGUUAAUUGUGAAGAACAUCUCGGAGUUUCUAACCGAACAAGCGUAAGCUUCUGUAGGCUUAGACGGCUAAAUGUCGUUAUUAAUUUGCUAAGUGGCCUAUUUUUAGGCAAUUUGGGUGGUACCACGUAAGUUAUUCCUUUCGUCCCAUAU